CUCGGGACAGCGCCGCGCCGUGGCCGCUCCCGGCACUGCCGCCGCCGCUCCCGCAGCUUUGUGUGCCUCCCCGCACUCGUCCCUGGCCAACUUCAAAGCACUCACCCACCUCAAACUUAGCGGAGAACCUACAAGCACCACUAAAGUCCCUUCGCCUUUCUCCAUCCCGCCUCUUUUGGGGUUACCCGCCAGGAGGAACCCACGCGAGCGCUUCGGAGCAAUGACAGCAAGCGCUCCGCUCUCGAAGAUUUAUUUCGGAUUUUAUUUUUCCUUUCUUUCUCUCUUUCUCCCUCUCGUGUUAGUUCCUUACGUACAAUAUCUUCCCGCACCAUGUGUUCGCCUGCCGUGGGUGAUCUUAAAAUACAACGCUGAUCUGUCACUACAUUUUAAAAUAAACUCUACUCGGGAAGGAUGAAGAAAGUGUUGUGAUUUCAAGGUACUGGGGUCCCUUAACGUCUCGGAAGCCUCGGGAUUCAAACAGCCCCGGAAACACGCACGGGGACGAGACUAUAACUACUUUUCCCUAAAGGGGAAAAAAAAAAAAGUAAAAAAACCCCACAACACCCUCGUGAUAUAAAAGUAAAUAAUCGUGCAGGGGGAGGCGGGGGGAAGGGGUGAAUUCAGCAAUGUUAAAAGCUAAACAACAGAUCUAUCUCCGGACGCUGCUGCUUCACUCAAUUGCAACUAAUAACCCAUUAAAGACAGCGCAGGGGGAACCGGAUUCUCUCCUGCAAAGCGACAUAAAUCCAGCGAAAACCCAUUAAACCACCGCCACCGCCACCAAGCCACGCAGCACUACACACCACAGCAAACAACAGUGAAGGCGAUGGUUACUGCUGUCAAUCUUGGCAAUCAAUGUGAGCGGCCAUGUCGUAAGUAUUCAAAGCAUUUCCCGUCGUGCAACAUCAGAAAGUGAGUGGCCAGGGCAUUGAUCUGAGGAAGGCAAAAGGAGGCAGGGCUCCCCCGCCCAGACAGCACAGGCAAGAUGAGACAACACAGGGAGAGAGAGGAGGGAGAGGGGAAGGGAGAGAGAGAGAGGCUGGGAGCGAGCAGGGAGAGCAACAACUGCGGAGAAAGUGAGCACAAAACAGAAAGUGAAAUCGGCGCGGGCUGCCAGCCGCAUCCCCGCGCAGCUAUCACCACUCACAGGGCCAUUAGACACAUGAAACCCUACACCGCUCUGCUCUCGCUAAUGACCACUGAUUGCCCGGAGUGGUGAGGAAAGGCUAAACUGUUGUUAAGAUGGGAGUGCGGAAAGCAACCUCAAGCCCACAAAAUGAGAGAGAGAGAAGUUGUUGAUUCAUCUCUGUAUUUUUGGCACUUUCUCCCCGUUUUCCAGAAGGCGCCUGGAACAGUUAGUAACAGACAAACUUUUUAAUUUUAAAAUAGCUUCAUAACUUAUAGAGGCCAAAAAGACUAAGAGAAAUCCUGAUUUCGCUUUCCUCCUCUCUCGAGUAGAAAUUUGUGGACUGUGUUAGACCCAGAAGCACACUCAGCCCCACUGUGAAUGAACCUUGCUUCAUAAGGACGUGAUUAAAAUUGAGCAUUAACGGGAUGGCACAGGACAGAGCUGACCUGCCUCUAUUUCAUUUUGUUAACAAGGUGUAAAACUCGACACACUACUGGAGUCAUGCACGUUGCAUCCUCUACCUUUGCUAUCCGAGGUGCUAUCGUCCCUCUCGAGUAGAGUCCAGGGAAAAUGAGUUGUAAGUCAGAACCUCUUGGAAUAAUGGACCUAUUUUAUACAGUAUUUUUGGGAAUUACACUAUAAUAAAAGGAAUAACCGAGUGCUAUUCAGCAAGUAGCAAACACCUUGAAAUAGAACUUUACAAUUAUCUAGUAAAGCUUUAUCAUCAAAUUAACUGGAUGAGGACAUAGUAACUCAUUUCCUUUCAUUCUUUCAAUUUUAAUAAAAGAAACUAAAAAAAUGACAUUCAGAGACGGGGAAAAUUGUAUGACUGUAAAUACUGAGUUUGUAUUCACCUGCGUUUGGGUAAUUCAAAAUAUGCACCUUGCUACAGUUAUGUGGUGUAUGGAUUUAACAGCAGUAAAUAGCUGUCUUUCCAGAUAUUGCUAUGUCCUUUUUAAUCUUUAAUUAUAAGAAUUUCCGUAAUUGGUCACUAACGCUUUGCUUGUAACACAUUUAAACCUGCUUCAAGUAAAAGAAACACCUUGACUUCUUGCAUAACUAGUAGCUUUGGAGCGAAAAAAAAAAAAAAAAAAAGGUCUGUAAGAAAAGAGAUGUAAAUCAGAACACAAGGAAGAACUAUCCUGCCUCAGUUUGCAACUCCAGCAAUUUGUCAGUGGAAGUUUUUUUCUUUCAAGAAACAGACAGAAAGGGGGGAAAAAAUCGACGACUACUCAAAUGCCUCUAAUGUAGCGUUCUCCUUAUUAAACACGAAGCGGGAAUGGGACAAGAGAUGAUUAAGGCAUCAUAUAAAUCCAACCGCCCACCUAGCUCCAAAUCGGGGCAGCAUCCCACUGCACUCCCGAAAAUCCAGUGCAAGGAAUGACACUGGGCUGGGGCAGGACACCGCAGGGAUGCGGCCACGCUCCCAGGCGGAGCGCAAGCAACGCUCUCCAGCUUGUUGCUUCCCCUGUGUGAUCAAUUAAGUUACAGAUGUAACUCACAGUGCCGGAGAGCGACAACUUCUCGGCACCAGGAAAAGAGGAUUCCUUGGGCAUUGUAUGCAAAUGUGCGUGUGUGUGUGUGAGCGCUGCACGGGGAUAAUUGCGGUUCCCUCUUUGUUUGCAUAAGUGAACACCCGCCGUGUAGAUCCGUAUACACGUGCCGAGAAACAAGAAAACGCUUUUACUUUUAGUGUUACCCCACGUUUAGAAACCGCGUUUGAAAUUACUUCCCUUGCUUUGGCUUCAUUAAGGCUAAAUCCAGGCAGCGCAGGCAGAUGUUGAGGAAGGAUGCUGACCUGCUGGAGGUCCCUGCAGAGGGAAGGGACCGGAGGCGCUCAGAUCACGUCGGGACACUUACCUGUUCACAGCUGUCAUUGCAUUUUGCGCCGUCUGUCUCAUUAAACACGUUAAAGUAAAGCAAUAUUCAACAAGCAAAGCAACCUGUCUGUGUGCUAAGUUGUACGUACCGCAUCUUUAACAUGAGGAGCAAACCUGCAACUCUUGUAGAGUUGGCGGGAGGGUCUCAGAAGUUUUUGAUUCAAAGGGCAAGAAAUGCCACUUUAAAAGUCAUUCACCCACUUCUAAACACCCCUCCCUCCCCAGUUAAUGCCGGACAAUUAAGAGGCAUCUUUAUAAAUUCCCUCUGCGGACACUCUCCGACAAUGAAGGCUUUUUAUAGGCUUGCUAAAGAUGUUCAGAGAAACUUUUGCAAAAUAAUCAAGAGCAUCUGAGAGAAAGCUAAAGGAAAGGAAGUUAAAGCCUGAUCAUCCGAUUGGGAGAAAGUUUUGUUAGACUAGAUAGAAGCAUAUUACUGCACGUUCCUUCAAAUCAAAGCCAUCAGCUGAUACGAGUUCCCCUAGAACAAGAAUCUCUGGCGAUCUCCUCAAAAUUUAGGGGAUGUUUGUAUUUUGUAACUCAAAGCUAAAGAUCUGACUGAAAACAAAAACUCUGAAUUCCUUACAGCGUCAUCUGCCAACAAAAUGUAUUGUCUUGGCAGAAAGAGGAUCAAGGAGAUUUUAAUUUAAUUUUAAAAUGUGCAUCAUCUUGACAGUGAAGGAAAAAGCCGCAGCAACAAUCUCCCCACUCCACCCCCCCCGUUCAAAAAAAAAAAAAAAAAGGGAGGGGGGGAGAGAGAACUGGAAAAACCACAUAAACUUUUACAAAGAAAAUAAAAGCAAGUUCGACAUGAAAACCCCUUCCUGUCUCGGAAAGUUCAUUUUAAAGGUCCCCUCUGUAAAUCUAAAGUGCAAACACCAGGCUAAGGUAGUGAGUGGCUGGAAUUUGCAUGCUGAUAAGAGAAGGCUGUUGUACUUACAGUGACAGAGGGCAGGCUGCGGAAGAAAAGCUGUUUGUGUUAGCCUGAGAGUCACCCAGGGCUGCAAUGAGAGGAGAAGAGAGGAGUGGGAGUGCCAAGCUGGAUACACCUUCACCGCAUCUCAUCACAUCUGCCAGCCUCUCUCUCCCUCUCUCUUUCAUUUCCACAUUCCCUUUGUUCCUGAAAAAAAAAAUCUACACGUCACAUCAGUCCCCAGAUGCAGUCUACACCAAAGAAAAAAAAUGAAUAAUUCAAUCAAACUGUGCAUAGUCUCUAAGGCAAUAAAUCUAUUGCACUUAAAGAAACGAAGGGUAAUUACCGCUAUAGAAUUAGAAUAAGGCCAGAGCGCGCAGGGAUCCCAGGGUCUGUAAACUCCACGGUCAAAUAAAGUUUCAUUUAUUUAAUCCUUUGACAUCCCCAAUGUAAACUAAAGGGGAGGAUCAGAACUUAUUCCGGUUGGGUUUGAGAACGCCUGAAGUGAAUGUUAUAAAAGGAGAGCGCCCGUGAUCUGUGACAAACACAAUGCAAGGGAGUAGAAGUGUUUCACUGCAUCACCUCCAGGGUCCGUUCCCCCCUCCCUAAUGAAGAGCAGACCACACUCCCACUUCCACCGGCUUCUGCUGCUCGCUGCAAGUGCAGCGGGGAUCACUGGCAGCCAGCAGCCGCCUUACCUGCUCCCGAGCGCCAGCACAGCCUGAGAAAAACUCAGGGGAAACGGCAAUUUUGUUCCACGCUCUGGCGGAGAGGAGCCAUGGGGGAUUUGCACCGGCACGGAUUUGACUCGGAACGCUGCCCCUGACUCGUGGAUGUGUGCGGGGCUGAGGCUGGGGACUGCCCGCCGGGGGCGGGGGGAGCCCGCCGGGAGCGGAGCCCGGCGGGGCGGGCGGCGCUGCCGGAGCGCCGUGACAGACCGGCCGGGGCGGGAUGGAGGGAGCCGCGCGUCUCCCGCUCCUGCCGCUAAGGCAGCUCCCUCGACUCGGAGCUCCAUAGAGAUGUACGAGAGCCACCAAAGCCCUGAGAGAAUUCUGCAGCACUGUACCUGCUGUCCCUGAUGGGUAAAUUCAGAACAAUAUUUCAACAAAAGAUUAAUUUUGCCUCUGCGGGGAUGGAUAAAGAAAUUGAAGAACUGACUCCAAAUGUAAAUUCCUAUGCUUCCUUCUCUUCCUGAGAACCCUCUAGAUUAGCAGGCACAUUCUGAAAAGCACAAUGACAGAUUCCUUUUGUGCAGUGAUUUCUCUUCAGAUCCCACAAAUAAGCACCAAAAAAAUUCUCAACUAAUAUGGAAUUUCAGCUCAGAUGGUCACAAAUUAACCAGAAAAGGGUGUACGUUCGUUUACACAAAUUACACACAUUUUCCAUUUUUGGUCUAUAGCAUAAAAAAUUAGAUAGUUAAUUUUAAAUGCAAAACUUUGUACAGCAUGCAAAUCAUGUCUGUAUGUCAAAGUAAAAUAACAAACCUAAUGAGGAAUGUUAAAAAAGUAAGACCCAUUAGUUUAAAGAUACAUGGAAGCAGCCAAAGAUGACAAACAUGCAUAAAAUUCAAAACAUGAUGGAAAAGGGAACAAGCACUGAACCACAUAAAUCAGUGUUUUGAAUUCUAUUUCUCUGUGGGUAUAAUUGUACCUUAGUUUCUUAUAAUGAUUUAUUGAGGUAAAUAGUCUGUAUGGUUUAACAGCUACAGCUUCAAAGUGUCAGGCACAGACUCUCCUUUAUUCAUGAGGCAGCUGAGUAUUGGGAUGUGAAUCAGCUUCUGUAUUCUGGGACUUGGCAAAGUUUGUUUUUAAGGUCCUUAUAAAGGAUUCAUGUUGAUGCAGCCAUUCAAAUGUGAAAAACACUGAUGAAAUAGGAAAGCUUUACAGUAAUUCUGGGGGAAAAAAGUAAAAACACUGAAAUAAACCAUUCAGAAUUACCUUCAGCAAAAGAAAGGAACAUCCAGAGUUAAUUUUAAUACAGUCUGUCGUUUUGGGAAACACAGAAAGAAACUAAUUUCUUGAUGAAGUACAAAAGUGUGAUGGGAUUUCAGAAUUUACUUUUAAGUUGAAAUAAAAUAAAGUACAAAAGAAGAAAUGGUAGAA